rnacentral:rRNA from 1 species
GAUGAACGCUGGCGGCGUGCCUAAUACAUGCAAGUCGAGCGAACAGACGAGGAGCUUGCUCCUCUGACGUUAGCGGCGGACGGGUGAGUAACACGUGGAUAACCUACCUAUAAGACUGGGAUAACUUCGGGAAACCGGAGCUAAUACCGGAUAAUAUAUUGAACCGCAUGGUUCAAUAGUGAAAGACGGUUUUGCUGUCACUUAUAGAUGGAUCCGCGCCGCAUUAGCUAGUUGGUAAGGUAACGGCUUACCAAGGCAACGAUGCGUAGCCGAACUGAGAGGGUGAUCGGCCACACUGGAACUGAGACACGGACCAGACUCCUACGGGAGGCAGCAGUAGGGAAUCUUCCGCAAUGGGCGAAAGCCUGACGGAGCAACGCCGCGUGAGUGAUGAAGGUCUUCGGAUCGUAAAACUCUGUUAUUAGGGAAGAACAAAUGUGUAAGUAACUAUGCACGUCUUGACGGUACCUAAUCAGAAAGCCACGGCUAACUACGUG